rnacentral:rRNA from 1 species
CAGCAGCCGCGGGAAUACGAAGGGUGCAAGCGUUAAUCGGAAUUACUGGGCGUAAAGGGUGCGUAGGCGGUUGUUUAAGUCUGUUGUGAAAUCCCCGGGCUCAACCUGGGAAUGGCAAUGGAAACUGGACGGCUAGAGUGUGUCAGAGGAUGGUGGAAUUCCCGGUGUAGCGGUGAAAUGCGUAGAGAUCGGGAGGAACAUCAGCGGCGAAGGCGGCCAUCUGGGACAACACUGACGCUGAAGCACGAAAACGUGGGGAGCAAACAGGAUUAGAUACCCCCGUAGUCCCUGUCUCUUAUAC